rnacentral:lncRNA from 1 species
AAAGGGGACAUGUGGGGGGGGGGCACACAAAGGGGAUAUGUGGGGUGGGGGUCCCGUGUGGGUCCCAGCCCCAAAUCCUAUUGAGAGGCCCCCAGGUGCAAAGUGUGGGGCGGACAUACAGCAGACGGGGGCCCCCCCCCCCCAACAGACGGGGCUGUGCCCUCAUCCUCAUCCUCAUCCUCAUCCUCAUCCUCAUCCUCAUCCUCGGCACUGGCUGCAUGGGAUGCUGCUGUUGCAUGCGGCGCUGCUGCAGGGGAUGGGGGGAGCAGAGGGAUGCAGGGGAUAGAGGGGCAUGGAGCUGCAGGGCUGCAGAGACCAAGGGCUGCAGGGAUGCAUUGCCAACAUGGAUACGGGGAUAUGGGGCUGCAGGGAUGCAGAGCUGCACAGGACCCAGGGCUGCAGGGAUCCAAAGCUGCAGGGGUGCAGAGAUGCAGAGCUGGUGGGGACACAGGAUGCAGGGGAUACAGGGGAUGCAGGGAUCCAAGGCUGCAGGGAUGCAGAGGUGGAAGCGACUCAGGGCUGC